rnacentral:rRNA from 2 species
UGGGGAAUAUUGGACAAUGGGGGCAACCCUGAUCCAGCAAUGCCGCGUGUGUGACGAAGGCCUUAGGGUUGUAAAGCACUUUCAGUCGUGACGAUGAUGACGGUAGCGACAGAAGAAGCCCCGGCUAACUCCGUGCCAGCAGCCGCGGUAAUACGGAGGGGGCGAGCGUUGUUCGGAAUUACUGGGCGUAAAGGGCGUGUAGGCGGCGCGAUCAGUCAGGCGUGAAAGCCCGGGGCUCAACCCCGGAACGUCGCUUGAUACUGUUGUGCUCGAGAGCGGGAGAGGGCAGUGGAAUUCCCAGUGUAGAGGUGAAAUUCGUAGAUAUUGGGAAGAACACCAGUGGCGAAGGCGGCUGCCUGGCCCGCAUCUGACGCUGAGGCGCGAAAGCGUGGGGAGCGAACAGG